GACGAACGCUGGCGGCGUGCCUAAUACAUGCAAGUAGAACGCACAGUUUAUACCGUAGCUUGCUACACCAUAGACUGUGAGUUGCGAACGGGUGAGUAACGCGUAGGUAACCUGUCUGGUAGCGGGGGAUAACUAUUGGAAACGAUAGCUAAUACCGCAUAAUAUUAAUUAUUGCAUGAUAAUUAAUUGAAAGGUGCAAUUGCACCACUACCAGAUGGACCUGCGUUGUAUUAGCUAGUAGGUGAGGUAACGGCUCACCUAGGCGACGAUACAUAGCCGACCUGAGAGGGUGAUCGGCCACACUGGGACUGAGACACGGCCCAGACUCCUACGGGAGGCAGCAGUAGGGAAUCUUCGGCAAUGGACGAAAGUCUGACCGAGCAACGCCGCGUGAGUGAAGAAGGGUUUCGGAUCGUAAAGCUCUGUUGUAAGAGAAGAACGGGUGUGAGAGUGGAAAGUUCACACUGUGACGGUAUCUUACCAGAAAGGGACGGCUAACUACGUG
rnacentral:rRNA from 1 species